UACGUAGGGUGCGAGCGUUGUCCGGAAUUACUGGGCGUAAAGAGCUCGUAGGUGGUUUGUCGCGUUGUCCGUGAAAACUCACAACUCAAUUGUGGGCGUGCGGGCGAUACGGGCAGACUGGAGUACUGCAGGGGAGACUGGAAUUCCUGGUGUAGCGGUGGAAUGCGCAGAUAUCAGGAGGAACACCGGUGGCGAAGGCGGCCUUCUGGACAGUAACUGACGCUGAGACACGAAAGCGUGGGUAGCAAACAGG
rnacentral:rRNA from 1 species